rnacentral:lncRNA from 1 species
CCAAAAACCAACCGAAACGCCGCCGUUUGAAGCGCGAAUAGUCGCAGCCAAAACCUAUCACGACCGUCGUUGAUUCCGUCGGAAUUAGGCCAUGCCAGACGGAGAAAUGGUCGGCGGUAAACAGAGUUUGUAUCGGAGGUGGGGUAAAUGGAGGAUGAUGGAGAGAGGGCAACCAACGGUCAUGAUGAGGGAGAGGAGGAGGAGGGUGAGGUUAUGGACGGCUGUGAUGGGCUUGAGGAUGUGGGGUCAAUGAGAGGUGAUGAUGGUGGUGCUGUUGAUGUUGAUGUUGAUGCGUCGUGGAGGAUGAAUGUGAGGGAGAGGUAAGUGAGGGUGGAGAGAUAAGUAACUUAUAUAUAUAUAUAUAUAUAUAUAUAUAAGUAAUAUAUUAUUUAUUAAAAAUUAAUUCUUUGAACACUUAAAAUUAUUAAAAUAAAAAUUUAUUCUAUUGUUGUUAAUUCAUAAAAUUUUAAUUCAAUUAUAACAUUUUCAUUUUUUUUUAAGUUAAAUUAUAUCUUUUUUAUUAUUUUUUCCUAAAUUAAACUAAUUUUUCUCUUCUUUUAUUGUCUAAAGUUUUUCGAUAUAGUUUUAUUUCAAAAUAGAUAAAACAAGUACAAAAAAAAGUAGAUGAAUAAAAGAAUAUAUUAAAAAAAUAAGAACAAAUAGCAACACAACUAAUUAAGAGAAUAAUAAAAAGAUAAAAUCAUAAAUUUGAGAUGAAAUCAUAAAUUAACUUAUGUUUAUAUUAAGGCUAUUGUUUGAAAAUUUGAGUAACGACCAAUAGUCAUAGAAAAUAGAGAAAAUUAUUAGAUUUUUUCUUUUUCUUCUAGAGUAGAAAGUAGGGGUGUUCGCGGAUCGGAUUUUACGGAUUGGACAUCAAUCCAUAUCCGAUCCAUGAUUUUGCGGAUUAUAAUUUUUCAAUCAAAUCCAAUCCACGGAUUGAUAAAAUUCAAUCCAAAUCCAAUCCAUACAUCUGCGGAUUGGAUGCGGAUUUGACUCAAUCCAUAUCCAAUCCAUACGUCUGCGGAUCGGAUGUGGAUUUGACUCAAUCCAUAUGCAAUCCACCAUUUUGCGCAUUAGUUUUCAAAUUAAAAUUUUUUAGUUCUCUCCAACUAAUGAAAUAAAAAAAUCUAAUAUAAAAAUAAUUUUGCUACCAAUUAAAUUUAAAAUUGAAUAAAAUUUAAAUAAAUUAAUUGUUUAAAUAAAGCUAAAAUAAUACAUUUAAAGUUUCAAAAUAUAACACAUCAAGAUUAAUUAUUCAAAUAAAGCUACAAUAAUACGUUCAAAAUUUCAAAAUAUAACACACCAAGCUUAAUUGUUCAAAUAAAGUUACAAUAAUACGUUAAUAUAACACCGAAAUUAAUUGUUCAAAUAAAGCCACAAUUAAUUGAAAUGGCAAAGUUUCGGAAACCAAACACAGUCUGAUCAUUCACCAGGAUUGUUGCGCCUGUCAAAAAGUGGUGAUUACGGAGCCAUCCACGAUGGGAACCGUGAGAAGCCGUACGGGUGGCAAUCUUGAAGGUUGUGAUAGUGAAAUUGUUCAGCUAGAACCAGUGAAUGUGAAGUGGCUCGAUGGACUUGGGAAAGAAGAUGGCUUGCUCUCGCCGGAAUCGCGCAGCCAAUGUCUUUUAAAUCCGUGUCGAGAGUGUAUCCAACCAGUAUUGAGUGUUGCUAGUGUGUGUGACGGCGAGGAGCUUAAGGUUUUUUGUUGGCAAAUUAUUGGUGACUUGACGUUAUAUUACUUUGCUUUUGCUAGUGCGUGUGACUUUACUUUUAUUUUGUUUUACAAUUUUUACAAGCUAUAUUUGUAUAUUUGAUUAUUUAAUUAUUUUUCAUUUUAUAUUAUUAUUGGGUAAUGGCUAAGAUAUGUUAUAUUGCUUAGUAACUAUGCAAUGUCACAUUUAUAAUUUUUUUAAUUAAAUUUAUAAUAAUUUUUUAAUUAUAAUAUAUAUAUAUAUAUAUAUUUUUUUUUUUUUUUUUUUUGCGGAUUCACGGAUUUCCGCAGAUUUACAGAAGUAAAUCCAUAUCCAAUCCAUCGACUGCGGAUUUUUAAAUUUUCAAUCCAUAUCCAAUCCACGGAUCGGAUUUAUACGGAUCGGAUUGGAUUCUGAACACCCCUAGUAGAAAGUAGAGGAAGAAAUAUUUUUUUCCCUCUCUCUCUUUCUUUCUCUCAAACACCAAGAUGUCUUGAUUGUUAGAGGAAAAUUUUAAUGGAUAAGUAACAAAAUGUGGGGCUUUUAUAGAGGUUUAAAAUAAAUAUAAAACUUUUGAAAUAUAACUUAUUAAUUCUAACAAUGAAAUAGAGAAUUUUUAGGAUUGAAACUAUUAAUUUAUUGGUUUUGUAGAAAUUAAAACAAUUAAGUACUACAUUAAAUAAACUUUAUAAGAAUUUGAUAGUUUAUUUAGAAAAAGAUAAUUACAAAAUAAUAAUAAAUUAAAUGAAUAAUAAUGACUUUUAAAUUCAUUUUCCUCUUUUAUAUACAAAAUAAUCAUCUCGUAGGGCUUUCAUAUAAAGCGGAGUCCUAUACAACCGCCUAAGUUGCCUAGAGGUCGAACCACUACUAUUUACAAGCCAAUAUUGGAGUGUUGAGGUAACUAAAUAUGAAGCCAUGGCUGGUUUUUUGGGGGAGAAAGAUUUGGAAGAGAUGAUGUUGAGAGGAACGGGGGAGUUCAUAAAGUUUUAGGAUAACGUGGAGGGUAUUUUGGACAUAUUACUGUCUUAGCUUAAAUUUUGGGAAAAAGAUAAUCAAUAAUAAACUAUUUUUUUUAUUUUAGAUUUUAAAUCGUAAAUUUAGUAAAGGAAGUUAAAUCAAGUGAUCACUUGAUUGUUUUCCUAUCAAUAAUAAACUCUUUUUUCAUAUCAAUUUAAAACUCCGAGUGUGUCUCCAAAAAUUGUUUUCCUUUUUUUUAUUUUGGAUUUUAAAUCGUAAAUUUAGUAAAGGAAGUUAAAUCAAGUGAUCACUUUUUUUUUAUGCAAAGCAAUUAAUCUUUUUUGUAAUACCAAACUCCUAUUUCAUCUACCGAAACUACAAAAAUUAAUAUUUUCUAUCAAAUCAAAACCAAAAUUAAAAGAUAACUUAUUAUCUGCCAACUGUCAUUCAACGAAGUCAUCACUCACGCAAAAAAGGAAAAAAGAAAAAAAAAAGUGAUAUAUUGAUUUUAACAUAAUUUCAUACCUCUCUCAAAAAAAAAAAACAUAAUUUCAUACCAACAUAUCAUUCGAGGUUGAUGUGGAAAAGAACUAUUUUUAGUCCAAUUUCAUGUUUGGAUGUUGAGGUUGAUGUGGAAAGGAUGUGGCUCCCACGUAAAACCCAUCGCUUCGUUCUAAACUAAGUGAAUUUAUCUCGUGAGCUAAGUAGUUUAGGAGAUAACUCAAAUAAUUAAUUUUUUAUUAGUUCAUUAAUAAGAAUUUUUUAUUAUAUUUUAAAAAGUAUAAUUCAUUACCAAAAAAAUAUUCUUAAUAAAAAUAACUGUUAUUUAAGAUAUUACAUUUUGACAAUAAUAAAAUAAUUCAAAAUUAAUUAAUUUAAUUUGAUCUCAUACUUUAUUAUUAAAAAACUUAUAAUAUCUUUAUUAAUUUUAUUAAAUUAUUAUUUAAAAGUCAUACAUUUACUGCACACUGUCAACUUUCUGCUAUUUUUUUUGUUCUCACAACAACUAGUAAUAUCAAACAAGAGCUAAGUUAAGUAUGAUCAAUUAAUUAAAGUUUUCAUUUUUUGUAUAAAAUAAUCCUUAGAUAAUUAGUCUAUAAAGAGUAUUGGCUACUUCAAAUGGAAACUUGUGAUCAAAAGUGUAUUACAGAAGUGACAAAGGCACACUAUAUGAGAAAUCUGAAAUAGAAUUUGCAAACUUGAACUGGGUUACAGAGAGUUAAUAAGACUCCAAAGGAACAUGGAAACUAUUAUCUUUAUUAAAUAAUAGUAAUACAAGCUAUUAACUGACUAUUAUCUUUAUUAAUUUCCAUAGCGAAAACAAAAUUAACUUUCCUAACUGACUAGAAUUUAACUCAAGGAAAAUUAGAAUAUACGACGUUGUAUCACAUACGGUAUUUAGACAUCAAGAGAAGAUUCCCUCUAUCAGUGAACUAUACUUGCCAGGAAAUUAACCCCAGGCGAGUACCACCACCUCCUACUAUUUCUUAGGUGUCUCAGAGUUUGAUGAGGACUUCCAUGAUGUGUCUCUUCGACAGGCAGCGAAAUUGGGCAAUUGACUACAUUAACUCCAACAAAUUUAUGCAGUCACCUUCCUCCGGACUAUCCUCUUUCUUCGCGCUUUAGUUGCCCUUAUUUCCCCUUUAAUACAGUCAACAUUAUCUUGUUUGAUGCCAAGGAGACCAAGCCCAGAAACAAUGGCAUUCUUUGAUAUCAACCACCUGGGGACUUUUGAGCUGAGCCAUGACAUCCUGAGAUGGCCUGUUGUGUAAGCCUUCUUCAAAAGGUCAUCCGUUAAUCUUUCUCCUAAUUACACAUUCAAAACCCUGCAUGGAAUCGAUUUGAGAAGUUGGACAAUAGACAAACUCCAACACAUAUAGACAGUAAAGAAGAAUUUAGACCGCAAUCACUGUGGCUCAACAAAUGGGCCUAUUAAGCCUAUUAAAAGUUGGAACCAUAUUCACCGCUCGCAUUUCCUUAGAGAACUAUAUCAGAAUUCUGUAAAUGUAAAACUAUUCUUACAUAUUUAACUGUAAAACAAGAGAAAUUGUACUUCCGUAGCAAAGUCUCGCUAUUGGUAAGUAUUGGACUUGGAAAGGAUGCUAGUUGAUGAAGUAAAGGAAAAUUGAAAUCAGACUUUGAGGUGACAGAUCUAUACACUUCAAUAGGAACCACAUUGACAUCAUAUGAGACAAAUAAACAUUCCCCAGUCAAAGUUUAACAAACAAAACAUUAAAACAAGAGUAAGUUGGUCUAUCAAUGUAUAUAUAGACAUGUCGAUCAAUAGACAAAUACGUAAAAGAGGGAGGGAGAGACCUCAAAGCCGUGCUACUCCAAUAACUUCAAAAUUGUUGGUGACCACUCUAUCAAAUCCACCCAAUAGUUGCAUACACUCACCGAUGGGUUUGUCACAGAUAACCUGUUAGGCAUUAAAAAUUGCCCAAAUUAAACAAAUGUUAGACCAGCUUAGACAGUAAACGGAACAAUAUUCUAAUUUUACUUUAUUUAUAACGAAUAAGUGAACAAAGGAAUAAAAAGGAAUUUUGGCAAAGAAUCCUGCAGCUAAUCCCACCAUACACCGCUCUGCAGGCUUAUUUGGGAAUCAAAAUUCUCAAAAUGUACUAAGAAAUGACAUUUGUUUACUAGUCCCACCAACAAGGAGGAAGUGACGUGAAGAGAAUUUACUAAGAAAUGCCAGUGUAUUAAUAUUGAAGGAAAACAUUCACAGACGACCAAAAUCGCUGAUAUAUACUUAAUUUCUCACUCACUAAGAACGUUCAAUUCAUUCAAAUGAAACUUCCACAGGAAGGUCUCAUUAUUAAGGCUUUAGCUUCACCUCACAUGCUCAACAAUUCAAAUUUGAGGAUGAUAUUUCUCCGAAUGGAGGGCUCUAUUUGGCUUGCCAAUAAUCUUCCUCACAACUAUCAUCCUUGCUAUAUCGGUUGCACUGAGCAAUCUUCAUUCUGAUAUUUGCCCUAUUAAGCUGAGUACACAAGAAUCCGAAACAACUGUUAGAAAUUUUAAUCUUUAUAUAUAGCCAAAAUGGUGAAUAAGAUGAUGUAUUGAUAAUAAAUACCUGAGUUAAUAAAUAAUUAAGGGGCCGGUAACAAUCUCAGCAUUUUAUCAGGUGGGGAAAGCCUUCGCAACGAAGAUGCUGCUUGCUUUCAAGCAAUAAUAACUUUCCAAUUCCAUAAGAUAGCUUAAUGCCCUUUUAAGAAUAUCUCCACCAGCCUAACAAUUAUUCAUGGAAAUCCAAUUUGCAUUUGUCGCCUUCAAUUUGCUCAUCUUUGUCUAGAGUAUUGUUUUUGCAUUAACUUAGCUAGCUUGCAAACCACCUGCAGAUGGUUUUAAAUAAUGUGUGAGAGUGUGAAUUCAAACGAAUUAAUUAAAUAUGAUGACAGGAGAAACAAAAUUAAAAUAACCACAAGAAGUAGAACUAUACUUUUGUGAUAUUCAGAGCAUCUCCUACUGUCUUCAUUUCCCUUAGCUCUGUUUCCCUUUGUGCUCGAACACAAUGCCUCAAGGCUCAAGAUAAUUUGAUGACCAUCAAUCUUUUUGCAGCCACAUGUAGACUUGAAAAACUGUUGGCGGCCCUAAAGAACUUGAAAAUUAGAAAAGAUUCAGAAUGAGUGACUAAAUAUUAUAAUCGAAACUAAUUAAACAAACGCGCCUUGAAAAUCUGAAACUGAAUUACUCAAAUGUAUAUGCCCCUUCACAGCAAUUGCAUGCACGUGGUGGAAAUUUUACUGCGAAGACUUUCUCAAACCUUGAAGAUCACACUCGGCCUGACAACAAAGAAACAAAGUCAAUAUACGAAGAUGAUUUUACUAACAAGUGAGAGCUUACAAAUAUUUGAAGGAUAACGAUCACUCAUAACCCAAAUCCCCAGUAUUCCCUAAUAUUUCACUCAAGUGAGUUCAAGCUCCCAAAUUUCACUACAGUGAAAUGUCAAAACAAAACUCUCUUCUCAAAUUUGAUGAUGAUAUCUCUCGAAGGGAGGCAAAAGAAUCUAACACUGAUCAAAUUGGCUUGUGAACAAUUAAUCUUCCUCGCCAUCAUUCAUACCAGGUGCGGUGAAAAAUCUUCAUUCUGAUAUUUGCCUUAAUAAGCUGCUUAGUAACCUUAACCUGAUAACUCACACAAACAAAAACAACUUGCCUAAAGUUUAAUAUUUCGAGCAGAACAGUAAAGAAGAUGAUAUCUAUUGAUGCUAAAAUUUGACCUGUGUUACCCUGAUGUCAAAAAUCAUAGCAUCUCAUGUGGGCAAAAUCUUCGCAACACGAGAUGCUUGCAAAAUUGGAGCAGCAUCUUAUCACCUGUAAUUUAAUUGAGACAAUAACUUUCCCCAACCAUUUCAAUGCAUUAUUGGCAACUAAAUUCAGAGGGUGCUAAUUAAAUACCCUUUUAACAAUAUCUUCUUAUUCUUCUUCAAUCUAACAAUUAUUUGGAAAAUCUAAAUGACAAUCAUGCAUCGAUGGCAUGAAAAUUUGGCUAAAAAGUAGCCUGGAAAAGGCUGCUCUCUGAAUGAGAGCAUGAAUUCGAACAAAUAUGAUGAAUGAAUAAAUAAAGGCAUAAUACCACAAGAAGUAAAACUUUUACCCAGAUUUCUGUUUCUGUUUGUGCUAAAACCAAUGGAAACCGAUGGAAAUGAAUUUCUACGAAUUAGACAUAUCAGCCAAAACAGGUACUCUGUACAAGCAAAGUAAAAGAGGGUUACAAAAAAUUUUAAUAUUGAUAUGAUAAUUAUAAUUAUAAUGAAAAUUUCAGUUACCAUAUAAUUAAUAGAUAACUCUGUACAUAAUGAUUUAUUGCAUAUUAAGAUUGUAUACCUGAAUUUUAAUUGCUUUACAAAAUAUGGUAGUAGCAUUAGGAGACCGCACCAAACGUACCGAAUUGAAUGUGCCUUUUCACAGCCAUUGUACCAGCUUUGAAGCAUUACCACAAAUGCUUUUUCAAACCCGUGAACAUGAUGCACCCGAGAGAUGAUUAUCUUAGCACCUAAACAUCAUGCAAUAAUAAUCAUCAUGUCUUUCAGGCAGCUAUCCAUCCUCAAUUGAAACAGAGCAGACCCGGCCAUCACUUCCUUCUUCAAAUUCCAGCAACCAAACGUUGCACAAUAACCACAGUGAUAAUCCUUGGUUACCCCAAUGUUCUCCAUAGAGUCUUCAACGUCAACCUAAAAAUGAAAUAAAAAUGCAAUGCAGGUGGAAAUGAAAAUUCUAUAAACUAAAUAAAAUAAAAAAUGCAAUGCUUGAGCUUGAGCUUGCUUUAAUCAUCAUAAUAAUCGAAUUUGGAUAUAUCUUUACUUCUCUGUGGUUCAAUCAUUUACUUCCCUGUUCUUGUUUAUUCACAACAAGAUAUCAAUAGAAGAAGAUGGAAAUGAAAUUCUAUAAAAUAAAGCAAGUGAAUUACCAGCAGAACAUUUUAGCAAUCCUUUGGCUAAACUUUUCAUUUUCAUAGUCUUGCUCUCCUGCCUGCAUCAUCAAAACCAAAUUAGAUUGGACCGGACAUUUCCUCGAAUCUCUGGUGAACAUAAUUAAACUCGUAUGAAAUAAAACAAAGUGGGCUAAUGUACUACUAAAAAAAUUACACAAUUACUUUAAAGAAUUAAUGUCACAUAAAUUAUAUACAAAAAAAUACGAUUAUCAUUAUACAAGAUAAAAUUGAUAAUUUAGUUUUCAACGUUACUGCAAAUGUAUCACAGAGAUUUUGUCUCUCAGGAAGUUACACAUGAUAAAUUUUGGUACAUUAAAAAAUAAAUUACAUUAGGAUUUUCCAUGAUGUUGUAUGAAAUUUUAUAAAAGUCUACUUAUUUUUUAAAAGAAAAUAUAGGAAUUUCAACAGAUUACAGUUUUUUUAAUAAUUUAAUCUUUAGAAAAUUAGUUUAACAGAUUUGAUAACUAAGAAGUUUAAAUUUUAAAUAAUUAAAAUUAAAAUAUUAUCCUAACUAACUUUUAAAUUUAUGAACUAUUGAUUAAAUCUAACCGUACAUAUUUAUACCAUGAUUGGUUUUAUAAUUUUUAUAACAGCAUCAUAGAGUGACCCAUUAAAUUAUUGGCAAAUUAAUGGCUGAAGUAAAUAGAUAAAUUCAAUAUGCAAAUCAAAAUAUUAGAAAUAUAUAAUAUAUUCAUGUCACACAUUGGCAAUAUACAGAAUUUUAAUUCAUAAUAUAAUUAUUUUUAUUAAUUUCAUUGCAAGCAACAACGGAGUAAAUCAGAGGAGGAGAAGAAAUUACCGUUGGGUGAUAUCUCGAUGUGGGGAAUGUGAGAUAUCUUAUGCCAAUCUUCUCCUUUCGCCUCCCUAUAACGGUUUUCCAGAAGAGGACAUUGCUCAAUCCUCAAUUUCUGCAGUGUCGUCAAUUGAAGAAGGUAAUCCGGCAGCACCUUUAAUUUGGGGCAAUACUCAAUUUCCAAGGAAGAAAGACGUGGUAUGUCUGUUGUCCUGUGAUCUUCUAGAAUGGGCAGUUCUUCCAAAUUUUCACAAAAACUAAUACUCAGUUCCUGCAGUGCCGUCGUUUGAAGAAGGUAAUCCGGCAGCGCCUUUAAUUUGUUGAAACCAGAAACUGUUAAAGAAGAAAGACGUGGCAUGAUGGAGAUGUUUUCCUUCCUCGUAAUCCUGUAAUUCCACUCUUCCAAUUCUUCCAUGUCCCAAAUUAUGAGUGAUUUCAAUUUGGGGAAGGCAAUAACUGAUGGUGAUGAUGAAGAUGAAGACGGGCCAUCCUCACUGCUUUCUUCUAUUCCCAAAAACUCAUUACCCACUCUUUUUACACUUUUCAAGUGGAUGAUUACGAGUUUUUCCAGAGGCAAUUUUCCCAAAGGAGGCAAAUGCUCACACUUAACGCACGAGCGAAGAUAUAAAUUCCUUAGAUUGGUCAGUGAAGUCAACCAUUUGGGAAAAAUGUUGCGUCCAUAUAAUAUAAUCCCUAAUUUCUCUAAAUUCACAGGCGGUUGUAAGGCUUCAAGAAGUAGUUUAUCUUUCUCAUUCUUCCUCCUCCCUUCUUCGCCUUCCCCAGCUACGACUCUACCAAACGCAAGAUGCAAACGAAGGAGGUUUUUCUUAUUGUAAAGUUGUGACCUCUCAGCCUCAUCUACAUGCGAUACAUUACCCAGCCCUUCUAUUCCACAUUCACGAAGGAGUUGAAGAUUUUUCAGAGAUUCAAGCCUACACGUGCUGCCGCCAUCAACACCUCCACCCACAACAAACUUUUCUAAUGUUCGAAGACUCGUUAAUUUGGAAAUCCCUAUUGGCAGGUACUUCAACGAACGAGUUUUAUCAUUCAGUAAACUCCUCAUGUUCAUUAACUUCCCAAUCCCCGCUGGCAAUUCUCUAAGAUUCUGGCACCACCUAAUAUCUAGCUUUUGUAAAUUAUAUAAUUCACACAAAGUCUCAGGUAGUCUCUUUAUGCCUAAUUCAGAUAAAUUAAGAUAUUUUAAAUGUAUCAAUUUUUCAACAUUUUCUGGAAUUUUUCUAAUCCUUCCUGUCUUAUGAUGCAAACCUAAAGUGUUAUAUUGCCUUAUAACUAAUGUCCUUAAACACGCCAAUUUACUAAAUAACUCCAAAAGGAUGCUACUACUAAGAGACAGACUUCCAUCAUAAAUUAAGAGGCUACGCAAUCUAUCAAGUCCACGAAUGGACAUAGGAAAUGAAGUGCCUCCUUCAAACUUUAACCCUAAGUGACGGACUUUCUCACCAAAAGAGUUUAUGACUGAUUCCUUGGUACCAUUAAUUUCUAGCCACAAACAUUCUUUGCUACUUACAAAUUGAGCAAAAUCAUGUACUAUGUCAUGCAUCUUGCAACUCAUAAUAUCAUCAUCGUCAUCAUCUUUUUCAAACUCUUGAAAGAAAGAGCGUGUUGCUAAGAUGUUGAAAUACUCUUCUCCAAUCAUCUCCAUCUCUUCAUCUUCUUCUGAAUUAAGGUAACCUUGAGCCAUCCAUAGUGUAAUUAGUUCCUCUUUCCUUAUAUUGUAGUCUUUUGGAAAGACAGAACAAUAUGAGAAACAUCGUUUUACCAUAGAAUUGGAGGGCAAAUCGUUAUAGCUCAAUAACAAAGGAGGCAAAAGACCUUUCCCAAUCUCUUCCACCUUCCACAUUUCACUAUCUAAAAUUCUUUGCCACUCGCUUACUGUACUUUUAGAGCGCAAGAGAUUCCCUAUUACCUUUGCAGCAAGAGGCAGGCCUUUGCACUUAUCUGCAAUUUUUCGCCCGAUUGGUUCUAAUUUUUCACAAUCCUCAAAGGACCUACGUAGAAAUGCUAUCUGCUUAAACAGUAACCAACAUUCCCCUUCACCCAACUCCUUGACAGGGAUAAUAUCUAUUGAUCCCAACUGCAGUGCUACUGACCUAUCACGUGUGGUAAUUAGAAUUUUACUUUCAUGGUGGCCAUUCUUUAGACAAGAAAAGAAUGGGUCCCAUUUUUUGUAAUCUCCAUCCCACACAUCAUCUAAAACAAGAAAAAAUUUCUUCCUCGUAAUAUAUUCCUGAAUCUGUUUCAUAAGAGAUUCGAAUUCGCUUAAACCAGAAGCUGACACGCCUAGACCUUCAAUGAUUGCUUUGGCUACCCUAAUCUCCUCAAAAGUGUCUGAUACACACACCCAUAUAACGUUUUCAAAAUUUCUUUUCACCUCAUCAUUAUUAUAAGCCAGUUGUGCAAGAGUGGUUUUACCUAUACCCCCUAACCCAACUAGUGAGAUGACAUGAAGGCCUUUUUGUUGUUCACUACUUCCACACAGCAACUUGCUUAAGAGCUCAUUUUUCUCAUCAACUCUACCACAAACCCCUCCCUCAUCAAUCAAGGAGGUGGUUCGCACUCGCUCUGGUUUCUUAACAUUGUUACUCACAUUCUCAACAAAUUUAAACGUAUCUUUUUGGGAGGCAAUAUCAUCUAGCUUUCCAUUGAUUUCCCUAAUCUUGACGGCAAUGUCAUGACGAAGACAGAGUUGUUUGAAACUACCAAAGCAGUUUGAUACAGCACAAAAGAAGGAGCGUACCUUCUUCUUAUGAGGAGCAAGAGGAAGAGCAUUGUCAUCAUCAACGCCCUCAAUCUGCAAUUUGAGCCUUGCAGUGGUCCACUCCUCCAACACGUCUUCCAUGUCGUAAGAUGCGUCUUUGAGCUGAUCCAGCCAAAAAGUAACAGCAUUGUCGCGCUGCAUUUGCCUUUUCUCUGCAUCUUCCAGCACAGCUCGAAUGGCUCGAAGAUUGCUGGUAAGCUUUUUCACUUUUUGUCGGACACCAGUCACAAGCCUCACCUGCUGUUUCACUUCAUCAGCCGCAACAGAGCUCAGCUGCCCCAGGAGAGAGGAAACGAUCGCAUCAACCAUUCUGACAAAGAAGACGAGAAUUCUGAAGAGUUAUUAGAUGUGCUUUUGUUGCGAAGAUAUGAAAGAAAGGAGUUAUUGCAUUCUUUUAUACUGCAUAGAAAAGGUUUAUGCUUAUCCCCAACCCACACGUCAAUGAUUGUAGAAUGUUUAAUUUCCCUGAUUCUACUCCACUAGUUGUAAUAUUCUCAAGUUAUGUAUGAAAAUAGCACAAAUUUGGAUCUAGUAAUGAUUUUUAUGUAUUUUUUCAUAAUCUUCUAAAAUACUAUCUCUGCAUGUUAUUUCGUUCAGAAAUAUGGCAUUGGGUGAAAAAAGUUACGCUUAUCCCCACCCACACGUUAGUAAUUGUAGUAGCAUCUUUAAUUUCCAUGAUUCUACUCCACGGACGAACACAUUUUUUGUACUAACAUCUUUAAAUUCCCACACGUUAGGAAUUUGGCACAUAAUCUCAAACUCGUCGCAUCUUUAACGUAUGAAGUUGAUGAAUAAAUUCUUUUCUCAUGUCAAUUUAAAACUCCGAGAUUAUGUGCCAAAUUCCUAACGUGUGGGAAUUUUACCUCCUAAGUAAUCCGGCCCACUGCCAAGUGCCAACUUUUUCUCUGUCGAGUUAAUGAUGUUGUUUUGUUUUCCUUGUUUUAAUUAAUGUUGCGGAGAGAAACAGAUCGAUGCAAAUGGCUAGCCAGGUUUUGCAGAAACCGUGAAUGGUCUUGCAUGUGACAUAAAGCUUUAUAGCUUAUUCCUCCAUCAACAUUUCAAUGGUUCCAUCUCACGUGCACUUGGCUAUGAAUAAGGUCCAUGCAUGGAUCGAUCGAUUUAGGAGUUUGGACCAUCUCAUGCUGCAGAGUUAUGUGUCAUGUAUGUGUGUUGACACUUGCCAGUUCAUUUUUGUUAUAAAGAUUAUUGAUACUCAUAAAUGUACUACUUACAAAUCAUAAAUUUUGAGUUUGACACUUUAGUUUCAUUUUGUAAUCCCUACGCUCUUUGAAUAUUUGUAAUAAUAUAUUUCAAACUUUAACUCAAACGUAAUGAAUAAAGGGGGAUCCUCUUCUUAUAUAAAUGUUUAUUUUUUUACGUUCAAGUUACAUUUGAUUACGUGUACUUGUUAUCUAGUUUUGACUAUCUAAUUACAUUUGAUUACGUGUACUUAUUAUAUAAAAUUUUUUUUGAAAUGAUGGGUCUGGUGAGAUUUUUUACAUCUUGGAUCAGUAGGUUAAGAACAGGCAGGGCAGGGCCUUCUCUGAAGUCAAUCUUGUGAGCAACACCAGCUUUUGGGAUAAUUGGCCGCCCCAAUUCAUAAUUUUCUCUAUUGAUGUCCAUGGCCAAAAUCUGCAACCGAAGCUUAUUCUACGCUUAUUAAUCGAGAGAUAAUUUUACCUCUAACUAAUUCAAUUGGGAGGAAAAUCGAGAGAGAUAUCCACUUUGUCCUUAUUAAUUGAGAGAUAAUUUUACCCUUACCCAAUUUAAUUGGAAAGGAAAUCGAAUUCCAACAAUAACUAGGACUCGAAUCCAUGCACUUAAGCUAACUUUAAGUUUUUGGACGCAUGGUUAUAAUGUUCUUUAUUUAAAUCCUAACAAAUGGUGGGACUUGAACUUGUGCCUACAAACAUUGAGUGCUUAGGGGCUGCAAAAUUUCAUAACUUAAUUUUAGUUGAUGUGGCAUGUGCCCUAUCACAUAAAUGUAGAUAAUAAUAAUUAAUACAUUAACAAAAUGAAAAAUAUUAGUUUACAAAAUACAAAUCCAAAUUUUUUUGUGUGAGAGGGGAUUUAAAAGGGAGAGACUAAACAAAUGUGGUGAAAAAUGACAUGUAUUACUAAAACUGAAAAUACGAAGUCUAGGCAAUUGAAAACAUCAGGUUUUUUAUUUAAAUAUCCUCAAUUUGUCCUUAAAUACUAAAUUUAUACCCUAUUAUAUACAUAUACCUCACGAAGAUAGGGAAAGCAAAAAAUAACCUUAAAAAAAUCAAGAAUCCACACAUUUCUUCCUCUCAGUGCAGGAAGAUGUCGAGUACGAAGUCGGGUAAGUCGAGAAUUUAGUCGAGCAAGAAUUGAAGAUAAGUAAGUCGAGUAUAUGGUCCAGUAAGAAGUUGAGUAAGUGGUCGAGUAUUAAGUGGUCGAGUAUUAAGUAAAAGUCAAGUGAAUUUUUUGAACAAGUCGAGUAAAAUUUAUGUAAUUUUUAAAGAGGUCGAGUAUUAAGUCGGGUAAGUACAUUGGGUCGAGUAUUAAUAUUUUUAAAGCAGUGAAGUCUGGUAAGUUGAGCAUUCAGUCGAGUAAGAAGUUAAGGCAAUUGAAUAAGUCAAGUGUCUAGUCGAGUGCGAAGUCGGGUAUGAAGUCUGGUAAGUUGAACAUUCAGUCGAGUGAGAAGUGAAGGCAAUUGAAUAAGUCGAGUAUCUAGUCGAGUACGAAGUCGAGUAUGAAGUCUGGUAAGUUGAGCAUUCACUCGAGUGAGAAGUGAAGGCAAUUGAAUAAGUCGAGUAUCUAAUCGAGUUGGUAAGUUGAGCAUUCAGUCGAGUGAGAAGUGAAGACAAUUGAAUAAGUCAAGUAUCUAGUCGAGUACGAAGUCGGGUAUGAAGUAUGGUAAGUUGAGCAUUCAGUCAAGUGAGAAGUUAAGGCAAUUGAAUAAGUUGAGUAUCUAGUCGAGUACGAAGUCGGGUAUGAAGUUUGGUAAGUUGAGCAUUCAGUCGAGUGAGAAGUGAAGGCAAUUGAAUAAGUUGAGUAUCUAGUCGAGUACGAAGUCGGGUAUGAAGUUUGGUAAGUUGAGCAUUCAAUCGAGUAAGAAGUGAAGGUAAUUGAAUAAGUCGAGUAUCUAGUCGAGUACGAAGUCAGGUCUGAAGUCUGGUAAGUUGAGCAUUCAGUUGAGUAAGAAGUGAAAGCAAUUGAAUAAGUCGAGUAUCUAGUCGAGUAAAUAGAUUGAAUGAGUCGAGUAUUAAUUUUUUGUUGGCAUUUUAUUGAGGCUAUUUUUGUAUUUUCUUUGGUUUUUUAAGAAUGUAUAUGUAAAGUUACAUAUUUUAAUAGAUGGAGGUAUAUUUUGGGUAGUACUAGAGAAACGGGGUAUAUCCCACGCAAUUCCUUCGAAAACAUAUCUGUCAAUUGCAAUGAACAGAUCACAACCCUUCGUAAUUAAACAAAAUCAAACUUGAAAAAAAAAAUCACACACACAAAACAAUCACAAAAACUAUUUGUUCUGAUCAUCCCGGCUUUUUUUUAGCGUAGCUCUUGGAAUGAAAAUUAACAAAAAGUGUCAAAAGAGAAGCAUUAAACACAGCAUUGAAGCACCAACCCAAAAUCCCAGAGCAACCAAAUCCCGUAAAAUGAUAAUACAGCAUCAAAACCGAAACAACAAAACUAAACACAAACUGAACAAUCUGACAAUCAGUGACCAAUCUCUUCCACUUUGGCCGCAACCCCAUCACACACAAUAGAUAGUACCCGUACAUGAUCACAUGCACACUUGCAUUGGUCACAAGUGCAAUAGGAAACAAAGACUGCUUCGUCUGUAACCAAAGGUAGCACAUUACGACGACGGUUGCAUGGUGGUAGACGUGGAGGAACGUGAGCCGUUGGAUGGAGUUUGACAAAAUGAUCAAAAGGGUGUCUAGGAAUUCGAGUAUUUUGGAGAGGUAGAAGAUGUAAGCGUAGAAGAAGAGGGGACCGGAGGGAGAAAUGGUGGGGGGGAAACAGAGGGUGUGACGGAGGUCGGGUGAAUGGAGGACGAUGGAGAGAGUGCAACCAACGGCCAUGACGAGGGAGAGGAGGAGGAGGGUAAGGUUAUGGACGGCUGUGAUGGGCUUGAGGAUGUGGGGUCCAAUGAGAGGUGAUGACGAUGGUGAUGUUGGCGUUAAUUUGUGGUAGAGGAUGAAUGUGAGGGAGAGGUAAGUGAGGAUGG